GAUGAACGCUGGCGGCGUGCUUAACACAUGCAAGUCGAACGGAAAGGCCUUGCUUGCAGGGCACUCGAGUGGCGAACGGGUGAGUAACACGUGGGUGCUUUGCCCUCAACUUCGGGAUAAGCCUGGGAAACUGGGUCUAAUACCGGAUAGGAGCCACGUUCAGUGUGAUGGUUGGAAGGUUUUUUCGGUUUCGGAUGAGCCCGCGGCCUAUUAGCCUGUUGGUGGGGUAAUGGCCUACCAAGGCGGCGACGGGUAGCCGGCCUGAGAGGGUGGGCGACCACAAUGGGGCUGAUGUACGGCCGAGACUCCUACGGGGGGAAGCAGUGGGGAAGAUUACUGGAUGGGGGCGAGCCUGAUGCAGCAGCGCUGCGGGGGGGAUGACGGCCUUCGGGUUGUAGAAAAGUUUCGCUAGGAGCGAAGCUUUUUAUGACGGUACCUAGAGAAGAAGCACCGGCUAACUACGUG
rnacentral:rRNA from 1 species